rnacentral:rRNA from 1 species
UGGGGAUAACUAGCCGAAAGGUUAGCUAAUACCGCAUGACAUCUUGAGAGGCAUUCUUUUAAAGAAGUAAAAGGAGCAAUCCGCUGAAGGACGGGACCGCGUCCCAUUAGCUAGUUGGUGGGGUAAUGGCCUACCAAGGCAACGAUGGGUAGCUGGUUUGAGAGAGCGACCAGCCACACUGGGACUGAGACACGGCCCAG